rnacentral:rRNA from 1 species
GGCGAACGCUGGCGGCGUGCUUAACACAUGCAAGUCGAACGGAGAGGCCCUGCUUUUGUGGGGUGCUCGAGUGGCGAACGGGUGAGUAACACGUGAGUAACCUGCCCUUGACUUUGGGAUAACUUCAGGAAACUGGGGCUAAUACCGGAUAGGAGCUCCUGCUGCAUGGUGGGGGUUGGAAAGUUUCGGCGGUUGGGGAUGGACUCGCGGCUUAUCAGCUUGUUGGUGGGGUAGUGGCUUACCAAGGCUUUGACGGGUAGCCGGCCUGAGAGGGUGACCGGCCACAUUGGGACUGAGAUACGGCCCAGACUCCUACGGGAGGCAGCAGUGGGGAAUAUUGCACAAUGGGCGGAAGCCUGAUGCAGCAACGCCGCGUGCGGGAUGACGGCCUUCGGGUUGUAAACCGCCUUCGCCUGUGACGAAGCGUGAGUGACGGUAAUGGGUAAAGAAGCACCGGCUAACUACGUG